CUGGACAAGAUGGCCCUUCUUGAGUCAGUCUGGACUCCAGACUGAGGUGCACUAGUGAGUCAGGGGAAUGUUGGUGGAAAGAUGGAAGUCAGGAAGGUGACCAGUGGUCAACAGGCUCAAGCCAUCCAGGCACACACACCAUGUGGGUGUGCCCAGCACCUUGGGGGAUGAAACAGCUUCUAGUAGAGGGACUCCCCUGGAUAGGAAGCCACUGUGCCUGCUUAUACUGAAGACCAGCUGAGACAUCCAGCUUUGUGGACUGAACAACUUCCGGAUUCUUGGACUUUCUGUUCAUGUUCAUAGCCUGCCAUUGUUGGACUAGCUACUAGCUGAAUCACAGCGUUUGGAAUCCUUUUGUUUCUUCUUCUUGCCAACUUUCUUCCUAGAACGUCCAACUCACUGUUGACUAGAAAUAUCUAUCGAAGGUGGUAUCCCCAUCUUACUGUUCAUCUGUGGGCUUUCACAGGUGUCCUCUAUCGGCAGGAGGUGUGUUCUCUUCUUGGUCCUCCCUCAACAACUGCUUUCCUUAUGAAGAGGCACUAGAUUUAUGUACCCCAUACUUUGUCUGU
rnacentral:lncRNA from 1 species